rnacentral:rRNA from 1 species
UACGGGGAUGGCAAGCGUUAUCCGGAAUUACUGGGCGUAAAGAGAUGCGUAGGCGUUUUAUUAAGUCUUAAUUUAAAUCCCACAGCUUAACUGUGGAUCUGGUUAGGAUACUGGUAGAAUUGAGGAAAGGAGAGGAAGGUAGAAUUCUCUGAGGAGUGGUAAAAUGCGUUGAUACAGAGAGGAAUACCAAUGGCGAAAGGCAACCUUCUGGCCUUUUCCUGACGCUAAGGCUCGAAAGCGUGGGGAUCAAAACGG